GCUGGAUGGUGAAAACUGCUUUCAAUGUAGCAAGGAAGCAAUGGACUGUGUUACGAGACAAAUGAUAUGUCUGUUGUUCUUUGUGACGUCAACAGCAAGCAACAACUCACCGUGACAUCAGGCAGCAAGCUUAUCUAUUGUUUAAUGUCAGCAGUGUAGUAGUCUGCAUGUGUGGUAGCCACUCUGGGCAGUGCCACUUGAAUCAGUAUUUGGAAUAUGAGGCAUGAUAGCCCAUCCACAAGUACAUAUCUAAAGUGGUUCAGAUGAAGGGUGGUCUUGCAAAAGUCGCCCUUUGUGUCCCCAGGUGGCAUAGACACUGCUGAUUUCCCUCUCCAGAGAAGCAGAGGCUGGAUCCCCUUCUCAGGACAGACUCCUUGCCAGGAAGCCACAGCCAUGAGGAAAGCUCAUCAGGUUUUUACUGGCACUUGUGCAGUAAAUAAGGUCAUAAAGGCCCUGUUAAAGGACACAAAAGCUCACCAUGAGCUCUGGAGGAUGUCAGGAAGAUUGAAA